AUUGAACGCUAGCGGGAUGCCUUACACAUGCAAGUCGAACGGAGUACCGAACGGGUGAGUAAUGUAUCGGUACGUGCCCAGUACCGGGGGAUAACUACGCGAAAGCGUAGCUAAUACCGCCUACUAUUGGAGUGGCAGAUAUCGGAAUAGCUAGUUGGUGGGGUAACGGCUCACCAAGGCGACGAUCCUGAGCUGGUUUGAGAGGACGACCAGCCACACUGGGACGGAGACACGGCCCAGACUCCUACGGGAGGCAGCAGUGGGGAAUUUUGGACAAUGGGGGAAAGCCUGAUGCAGCCAUGCCGCGUGUGUGAUGAAGGCCUUCGGGUUGUAAAGCACUUUCGGCAGGGAGGCGUUACCUGCAGAAUAAGCACCGGCUAACUACGUGCCAGCAGCCGCGGUAAUAC
rnacentral:rRNA from 1 species